UCCAAAGGAGACCACAAGGAUAGGGAAGGUUCUGGAGGGGCCUUAUGAGGAGCAGCUGAGGGCACUUGGUAUGAUCCUCCUGGAGAAAAGGAGGC